ACCGAGGAAGUAAAUGACACUGACC
rnacentral:piRNA from 1 species